rnacentral:ncRNA from 1 species
UGAGGACAGAAAUCUCACGUGGAGGAUAAGCCAAAAAGCUCAAUUUACUGUGCCUUUUUGUACUAGGAUCAGUUACGAAAGUAAGGCCUAACGAUCCCUAAAUAGCCUCAGGUGCGUGAGGAUUGGGGUGACAGACAAGUUACCUCCGGGACAACUGGCUUGUGGCUGCUAAGAGAUCAAAUCAACGCAGCUUUUUGAUUCUUCGAUGUCGGCUCUUCCUAUCCUAGUGAUGUACAAGUUGCUAAGGGUCGGAUUGUUCACCCGUAUUAGGGAUCGUGAGCUGGGUUUAGACCGUCGUGAGCCAGGUUUGUUUUAUCCUACUGGAUAUAGCAUCAUGAUAGUAGAUUGAUUUAGUACGAGAGGAACUGUUGAUUAUGGCCUCUGGUUAGCGAUUAUCGGAAACGGUAUGUCGCGCAGCUACGCCGUCUGGGAUAAUGGCUGAAAGCCUCUUAAGCCAGAAGCCCAUCUAGAAAGUGAUGCACGUGAUGUUGGACCGAUACGAAUAAUCAUACUCAAAAGGUCCGCUUCAUAGGUAACCCAAUGUAGAAGACAUUGUGUGAACGAAGGUACUGUAAGCAGUGGAGUGGCAUUACGUCCACGACCUGUUGAGGUUCAGCUUCGCUUCUAGGUUUCC